CAAUUUUGAUUAUAAGUUUCUGCAGAUCUUCUAUGCCAGCCUCAGUUUGGCUUGUUCAUAUCGGGAUUCCAUAGAAUCAAUCCAAUUUUGAUACUGAAUUGUUGCCAUUCAGAAUAAUGAAAGGUGUUCAAGUAACACAGCACAAUAAUUUGAAUAUUCAGUUCAUUGACCAUGAUCAUACAUCCAUUUCUUUGCCAAGAAAAAAACAAAAAGCAGGUCAGUUGUAUCUUUAGUUCUGUACCGUACAGAAAUCAAUAGGAAAUCGCCUUACUCUUGUGCCCUAUUUUAUACAGUUCUUGCUCUGCACAACGCAUCGUUUCUCGGUCUCAAAACCAAGUUUAUCUAGCCAUGAAUACCAAUUUGCUGGAACGCAGUCCUAACAUUUUUGCUGUCAGCAUAAAGCUUGUGAAGCCUUUUGUGGUGAUUACGUGCUGGAUACCUUUUUUUUGGGGUGCUGAAACAAGGUUUAAAUACGAGUGAUUGAAAUUGAAUUAU